GAGCUGAGUCUCUGGGCUUUAGAUGAAGAGGAGAGCAAGGUACCUCUGAAAAAUGAAUGAGGGUCUGCAUGGAAAUCUGCACUUUCCAAAAAGGCUGAGUACAACUGUGUAUAAUUAUGUGCAAAUGCACAAGGGUGGUGGUUCAGGAAAAUGUGUGCCUGAUGUGUUCUGAAACAGCAUGAGAGGAAGCAGAAACAACCAUUACUCCUGCAGUACCAGCUUCUUUCUGUAAGGAAGUUUAUGCUUUGGGAAGAUUCCCAGAAUGAGCAAGGUUGAAAAGAAUUACAUUGGAUCACCUCCCUGCUCAAGGAGGGUCAUCCUAGAACACAUUGCACAGGAUUGUGUCCAGGUGGUUCUUGAAUAUUUUUUUACUGGAUAGCAUCACAGUGUUGUGCUUUGCAUUUAAUGCUGAAAGUAAACAGCAAGUAGAUGAAAGUAACAAGCCAAAAUAUGAAAUUGCAUUUUUGUCCUUUUCACUGUCUUUCGAAACUAUUUUAAGUUUUAUGCUAUUAAAUAUUGUCACUGCUGCUUUCCGUUUGACUUACCAUUGUGAUGGGGU